rnacentral:rRNA from 1 species
UACGUAGGUGGCAAGCGUUAUCCGGAUUUAUUGGGCGUAAAGGGAACGCAGGCGGUCUUUUAAGUCUGAUGUGAAAGCCUUCGGCUUAACCGGAGUAGUGCAUUGGAAACUGGGAGACUUGAGUGCAGAAGAGGAGAGUGGAACUCCAUGUGUAGCGGUGAAAUGCGUAGAUAUCGCGCAGAACUCCGAUUGCGAAGGCAGCGUACCGGCGCCACACUGACGCUGAGGCACGAAAGCGUGGGGAUCGAACAGG